GCAGUUACAGCCUCUUUCUGUGCUUCUGGGAUUCUGUAUGGUUUAAGGCUUACCUUCACCCCUGGUUCUGUAACAAUAUCAUGCUUGAUAACGUUAGUCCUGCCCGGAACUACAGAAAAUACAUCCCGGUUUCUACCAAUGAAGUCCCUUACUUCCUGUUUCUGGUGGGGGGACAGGGUGUCUGGUAUAUUUACUUCAAGUUCACUACUAGUCUUAUCAGUGACAACUGAAGUAGUUAAG